AUGAGAAUCACAUGGGAUUCUUAUUAAAAUGCAGAUUGAGCUGAGGGAUGAGGCCUGAGAUUCUGGAUUUUUAACCAGCUCCCAGGUAAAGAUGAU
rnacentral:miRNA from 1 species